rnacentral:rRNA from 1 species
GACGAACGCUGGCGGCGUGCCUAAUACAUGCAAGUUGAGCGAUGAAGAUUGGUGCUUGCACCAAUUUGAAGAGCAGCGAACGGGUGAGUAACGCGUGGGGAAUCUGCCUUUGAGCGGGGGACAACAUUUGGAAACGAAUGCUAAUACCGCAUAACAACUUUAAACAUAAGUUUUAAGUUUGAAAGAUGCAAUUGCAUCACUCAAAGAUGAUCCCGCGUUGUAUUAGCUAGUUGGUGAGGUAAAGGCUCACCAAGGCGAUGAUACAUAGCCGACCUGAGAGGGUGAUCCGCCCACUUGGGAACGGGAACACGGCCCAACCUCCAACGGAGGGAGGCGUAAGGGAUCCUUCGCAAUUGAACAAAGUUCGAACGAGGCAACGCCGCGUAGUUAAGAAGGUUUUCGGAUUCUAAAAACUUGGUGGUAGAGAAGAAAGGUGGUGGGAGUGGAAAGCCCAUCAAGGUACCGGAACUACCCAGAAAGGGACGGCUAACUACGUG